rnacentral:rRNA from 1 species
CAGCCACCGCGGUAAUACGUAGGGGGCGAGCGUUGUCCGGACUUAUUGGGCGUAAAGCGCGCGCAGGCGGUCCUUUAAGUCUGAUGUGAAAGCCCACGGCUCAACCGUGGAGGGUCAUUGGAAACUGGGGGACUUGAGUGCAGGAGAGGAGAGCGGAAUUCCACGUGUAGCGGUGAUAUGCGUAGAGAUGUGGAGGAACACCAGUGGCGAAGGCGGCUCUCUGGCCUGUAACUGACGCUGAGGCGCGAAAGCGUGGGGAGCAAACAGGAUUAGAUACCCUGGUAGUCCACGCCGUAAACGAUGAGUGCUAAGUGUUAGAGGGGUCACACCCUUUAGUGCUGCAGCUAACGCGAUAAGCACUCCGCCUGGGGAGUACGGCCGCAAGGCUGAAACUUAAAGGAAUUGGCGGG